UUGUCUACGUCCAUCCAUGGCAUUUUCCUCCUGAUGCCUGCAGCCCUUACAACCCACCCAUAAACUGCUGGGCGAAACAACCAUGCCUACUCUCUCGAGCAUUGCCCUAAGCGCUGCCACAACUCCUUCCCUCUAUUUCUAUGGUUAGACCCCUUUUCUUCUCUGACUCAUGUAGUGACCUCUCGGGCUCUUAGGAACCAUCGAGAGCUUUGAUGAGAUUUAAGGUGGGAAAUAAAAAGUAUGAUUAACUUUAUUUGUGGAUGCAUGCUUUGUUGUAAGAGGUAUAACUCAUGAGUUCUUAGAUUAAAUAUAUGUGUAGAUCUAUGUAUCAUUUUGUUGAUUUAAAUAUAUAAAAGGAAAGUUCAGCAAUUUUAGCAUUGAAAAUUUGAUGUUCAUGUGCC
rnacentral:lncRNA from 1 species